GUUCUCUUCGGUGACAUCCUUGAAAAUUGGAAUGGUAAAGAGAAGAUUAGCAUGGCCACUGUGCAAGGAUGACAUGCAAAAAUCAAGAAAUGGUGGGUUAUAUU